GGGCUCUGAAGAGACAGAAGAGAAAUCCAUACAUGUCUCUGUCUGGCCAUUGAUAUUCUCCUUACUCCCUUCCUUUUCUCUACACCUCCAUCACCCCAUCUCUCCUUCUCGCUUGUUCAUUCUUUCUCAGAUGGUCCACAGUGGCCAAUCCAUCCUCACGCCCUCCACUGGCCAGGUCAGGAGAUCCAAUAUCCCAUGGAUUCAAACUUUUCUGAGGCUACCUAUAAAGUCCCGGCCACCUCGACACGCUCACUUUUCUACUUUGUCUUUCCUCUCCUUCAACCACUUGAGUCCAAACAAUCCCCACCUUCUUUUCAUCAUCUCCCUCUUCACUGCUUGCUCUUUCAGGAGUGGGUCAUGGACUGAUUAUUGCUGGCAGCUGUUUGUGUGCGAGUGUCAUUGGAGCCUAUGGAGCAUGACAGAAACAUGCAGGCCUGCAUAUGUGAACAAUACUACAACGUACAGCUGACCUUGGCCAUCGUGCAGGUUCUUUUGAAAGUGAAGUUUUUCUCAGAACAUUCCAAUUGUGUGACGUUCACUCGCGGGAAAGGAAAUACUUUAAAAGACAAAACUUUCAGGGUCCAUGGAGCUGGAGCAACCGUGCUUGUUACCCCUACUCCCAAAAGGCGAGCUGGUGACCAGACAAGGAGCCGCUGCGUCACUGGGGAGGCAGCCUGCUCGGGCCUCCUGAAUUUUAUGAUAUUUCUUAUUUUCAUCGAGACGGUAAUAAAAAUGGUCCCCUAAUGUUAUUAUUUUUAUUUUUUUCCUCACGGUUUACUACGGUACAGCAAGUCGUCAAACUGUCCAAAAGAGACAUAAAGACUGUGGAAGCGGCCAUCAUUCAGACACAGUUCUCGUAGUGGGAGUGAAGCUCCCUGUACUGGGAGAAUCUCUGAAUGAUUUCAUGAA